GAUGAACGCUGGCGGCGUGCCUAAUACAUGCAAGUCGGGCGAACAGAUGAGGAGCUUGCUCCUCUGACGUUAGCGGCGGACGGGUGAGUAACACGUGGAUAACCUACCUAUAAGACUGGGAUAACUUCGGGAAACCGGAGCUAAUACCGGAUAAUAUAUUGAACCGCAUGGUUCAAUAGUGAAAGACGGUUUUGCUGUCACUUAUAGAUGGAUCCGCGCCGCAUUAGCUAGUUGGUAAGGUAACGGCUUACCAAGGCAACGAUGCGUAGCCGACCUGAGAGGGUGAUCGGCCACACUGGAACUGAGACACGGUCCAGACUCCUACGGGAGGCAGCAGUAGGGAAUCUUCCGCAAUGGGCGAAAGCCUGACGGAGCAACGCCGCGUGAGUGAUGAAGGUCUUCGGAUCGUAAAACUCUGUUAUUAGGGAAGAACAAAUGUGUAAGUAACUAUGCACGUCUUGACGGUACCUAAUCAGAAAGCCACGGCUAACUACGUG
rnacentral:rRNA from 1 species